GUUCUUUUUCUUUUGUGUUACAUGAAAAUUCUGGAAUCUUCCAUGAUACAAUAUAUAGUAAGAUGUUUUAGAUUAUUUAAAGCUAGACUGUAGAUAUUGAUGAAACUUCCUAUAUUUCUUAAAAAUAAAUUAUUACCAGUUUAUAUUUGAUAUUUUGAAGGAUUAUUUGAAGGAUUUAUAUUGAAAAGUUUCUUGAUUCAAAAAGUCAUCUUUGAAGAGAGGAAUUAUAAAUUUUGAACUGUGUGAAACAUAGUGGAAUUUAUUCUGACUGGAUUUAAAUUAGACUUGGACAGGAUUUGGAUUAUAUUUACAUAUAAGACUGGAAUUUACCGCCCUUUGUCACAAUUUAGGGUGUCCGUAUAAUUUACUCCAAAACAUCUCCCUAUUUUCCACCCACGUGUGUUUGAGAAGAACCCACGUUUGGAUACUGAAGUGUGUGCGGGCUAGCAGACCCCGUCGGUGUGUGAUGCGGUCAUCCAGUCAGAAUGCUCAGCGCCGAUGACGUUUGUUUUUGUUUAUGUUUUGCACAUGUUCUUCUUUGUUUUGACGGACAGACAGAAGGAAAUGCUGUGACUGAUCCUGGGAGGACUGUCAGCUGCCGAUCUUUAUGAAAAGUUUGCACCUAUUAGAUGAGUAGUGCUCAUCUUUGUGCCUCCUUAUGUCCAUGAUUGAAGACCUAGAUCCUGACCAGUCAUUUAAAAGCUCUGAUAGAACAAGGGUACAGAACAGAACAGAACAGUUAUAUACGAUUUAUG
rnacentral:lncRNA from 1 species